UGGGGAAUAUUGGGCAAUGGGCGAAAGCCUGACCCAGCAACGCCGCGUGAAGGAAGAAGGCCUUCGGGUUGUAAACUUCUUUUAUGAGGGACGAAGAAAGUGACGGUACCUCAUGAAUAAGCCACGGCUAACUACGUGCCAGCAGCCGCGGUAAUACGUAGGUGGCAAGCGUUAUCCGGAUUUACUGGGUGUAAAGGGCGCGUAGGCGGGGACGCAAGUCAGAUGUGAAAUCUCCGGGCUUAACCCCGAAACUGCAUUUGAAACUGUGUCGCUUGAGUGUGGGAGAGGUAGAUGGAAUUCCUAGUGUAGCGGUGAAAUGCGUAGAUAUUAGGAGGAACACCAGUGGCGAAGGCGAUCUACUGGACGAUAACUGACGCUGAGGCGCGAAAGCGUGGGGAGCAAACA
rnacentral:rRNA from 1 species